rnacentral:rRNA from 1 species
AAAGGUUGAUCCUGGCUCAAGACGAACGCUGGCGGCGCGCCUAACACAUGCCAGUCAAACGAACGAAAUACAGCUUGCUUUCUCCAGCGAGUGGACAACGGGUGAAUAAGGCAUGAGGAACCUGCCUCAUAGACGGGAACAACAGCUGGAAACGACUGCUAUUACCGCAUAGGCCCACAGGUCGGCAUCAACCAAAGGGAAAAGGAACAAUCCGCUUUGAUAUGGCCUCUCCUCCGAUUAACUACUUGGUGACGCAACGGCCCGCCCAGGCUACGAUCGGUAGCCGGACUGAGGAGGUUGAACGGCCCACAUUGGGAUUGAGACACGGCCCAGACUCCUACGGGAGGCAGCAGUGAGGAAUAUUGCACAAUGGGGGAAACCUUGAUGCAGCGACGCCGCGUGGAGGAAGAAGGUUUUCGGUUUGUAAACUCCUGUCGUCGAGGAAGAUAAUGACGGUACUCAACAAGGAAGCGCCGGCUAACUACGUGCCAGCAGCCGCGGUAAUACGUAGGUCACAAGCGUUGUCCGGAAUUACUGGGUGUAAAGGGAGCGCAGGCGGGAAGACAAGUUGGAAGUGAAAUGUAUGGGCUCAACCCAUAAACUGCUUUCAAAACUGUUUUUCUUGAGUAGUGCAGAGGUAGGCGGAAUUCCCGGUGUAGCGGUGGAAUGCGUAGAUAUCGGGAGGAACACCAGUGGCGAAGGCGGCCUACUGGGCACCAACUGACGCUGAGGCUCGAAAGUGUGGGUAGCAAAC